ACCUUUAUAGAAAUAUUAGAAGAUCCAGCAAGUAGCCUGAAAAAAAUGGAAAUAACAAGGCCAGGGACCAAAAUCUAGCUGGUAUUUUUAACAAAUGGCCACUGAAUUUUGAAAAAUUCCAGUUUUUAACCAAGUUUUCCUGGCUUGCUAACACAUUCUAGGCUACCCCCAACUCUUCUGUUUUCUCAGAUCAGACUCCUAACCUCUAAGUUCCUGUUUGUAUUUAAAUCUAGAACUCUUCAACCCUAUAACAUUUACCUAACUUUCUUAGUCUACUAAGGAAGAUCAGGGGAGAGGUGAGGAUGACUGGAUCCACCCAAUCCCUACUACUCAAGACACAAAGUUAAAUAAAUGGAGUCUUCCCAUCGAGGGUUUGAACCUUGGCAGGGUUUAUGGGACAUUUCAGCCCACAUCACUAGAGAGAAGUUACUAAUAUUACAUACUUGGCAGCUCUCUAAGAUUCUAGGGAAUGUCCUCUAUUGGUAAAGAGGUUCUUCUAAGAAUGAAGUCAUCGUUGUAUCCCAAAACAAAGCAAAAAAUCGUGUUGAGGAAAUUUCUAAUGGAACUGUGAGCUCGUCUAAGUGAGUCAUCUAGAUGGCAUGCACCAUAAUCCAUUCUCACUUUCUCACUUCAUGCAACUCUUACCCAUGAAAGUCUUCCUCAGAAAGUCUACCCAACAUCCAGGAAUCUUCUUCUAGACCUACUGACCUUUUCUGGAUUGCAGUGGAACAUGAGAGGCAUCCAUCAUUUAUCCCUCAUUUUAUCUAAAGGAAUGGCCCACUUCUUUCGAAUUCAUAUCUUCCUAAUGACACCCUUGAGUUUGCUUCUCCAGCAGAAUUGUUUAAAAAUAUAGUCUUCUUUUAGUGGACAAGUAUUUGUUUCCUCUCUCAUCUUUCCCACCCCAUUUCCCAAUUAGAAAACCAAAAAUAAGCCCUUGUAAGAAA
rnacentral:lncRNA from 1 species